rnacentral:rRNA from 1 species
ACGCACGCUGGCGGCGUGCUUAACCCCUGCAAGUCGCACGGAAAGGCCCUGCUUUUGUGGGGUGCUCGAGUGGCGAACGGGUGAGUAACACGUGAGUAACCUGCCCUUGACUUUGGGAUAACUUCAGGAAACUGGGGCUAAUACCGGAUAGGAGCUCCUGCUGCAUGGUGGGGGUUGGAAAGUUUCGGCGGUUGGGGAUGGACUCGCGGCUUAUCAGCUUGUUGGUGGGGUAGUGGCUUACCAAGGCUUUGACAGGUAGCCGGCCUGAGAGGGUGACCGGCCACAUUGGGACUGAGAUACGGCCCAGACUCCUACGGGAGGCAGCAGUGGGGAAUAUUGCACAAUGGGCGGAAGCCUGAUGCAGCAACGCCGCGUGCGGGAUGACGGCCUUCGGGUUGUAAACCGCUUUCGCCUGUGACGAAGCGUGAGUGACGGUAAUGGGUAAAGAAGCACCGGCUAACUACGUG